rnacentral:lncRNA from 1 species
GCCCAACACCAGCCUUCAACCACACAAUUAAGCACUUCAAACAGGGCGGGAAGUCUGAGUCUUUGACCUUAAACUUCUAGAAGAUCCUCCCCCCACGCCCUUUCUGGACUUGUUUCCCAGCUUCUUCCUCGGACCAGCCAUCAGCAUCAGAAAUAGAGAAAACCAGAGGGGACAACAGUCACGACCGUCAAACACGUUUUGUUGUUGUGGGCGGGGGGAUUUCUUAAAGGGCCAGUGAGGGACGAGGCGGAGAAGUAGGGGGUCUAGGGACCUCAUCUUCUACCUCUAAGUAUUCCAGAAUCAGGUUAAAAGUCAAGGCUGAGGGCAGGUGCGGUGCUGGGAACCGAGAGGAGCGUGGCGGGAAGAGCCCCGGGCCACAGCAUUCAGGGAUGUCCCAGGAAGGGGGGGCCCGGCUGCCUGUGCCAGGCAGGCGGGAGAUGCCAGCCUGCGCCCUCGGCAAGAUUCCUCAAGGAGUUAACUCCCGAACCAUGUGCUGCUGGGGGAAACUCCAAGCCUCCCUCUUCUCGAUUCCGGCCCCCUGCACAACCUCUCUCCUAUCCUUAGCUCUUCCCCGGCGGAUUUUAGGAGUCCCUUCUCCCCUGGGACCCUUCUCUUCCCUUUCCAAGUCCGCUCCUCCCAUUAUCCGGAAGCGAGGGGGGAUGACGCCCCCCCCUUGACCUCUUCCUCCAGGAGCCGGGACCAAAAUAACCGGGCGGGAGGGGACACCUCGCAGGGAAUCUCGGAGGGCUGCCGGGACGAAGAGGCUACAUCUACACAGGGCGGUGUAGGGGAAGCCCGUCUCUUCGACCUCCGUGCCUGGGAGUAGGGGCCGAGAGCCAGAUUAUUGCGAUGACCGGAAUCCCGGCGAGGACGGCCGCGCUCCGGUUCCUUGGUCAAAUUUGUGAAUUUCGCUAACACGAAAAGUUAAACAAGACACAGAGGAGAAACUGCACUUAAGGGUUUCUAACGAAUUACCUUUACUAGCAAGAAUAAAACUGCAAGAAAAUUAAACGUAAAAAUGUCAGUCCUAAAUCAUGCACGAGUUUCAGAAUAUUUGAAUAUUUCCUUUUGGGGCCCACCGCUGCCAAGGUGGCCGCAGUUUCGGGUUUCGCCGGACAGGGCUCACUAAAACGUGCCUACGCCCCAGGGAUGGACGACUUGGAGACAGGGGCCGGGAAGCCUUUGUCUCAGGUCACCCUGCGCCAGGUUUGUCGCCUAAGUUUAUGGGAUGGACGGGAGACAACAUUUGUAAGUUUAGAGUUUUGGGAACGUUGUUUCGUUUAAUCCUCCCCACACCGUUUUAGGGUGGCUGUUCAUAUUUCCCAUUUUGUGGAUGGAGCAACUGAGGUUUCGACGGGAAAAAGUGACUCGCUCAAAGUCACUCAGGCUGAAAUCGGCAGAGUCGGGACUUGAACCCAGUCUGUGCCUCGCUACGACAGGGGUUCCGCUACCACGCGUUGGUCGAGUGCGGGUGCGGAACUGGGAUGUCCGAGCCUCCUCUACCAGCCCAUCCGCAAAUGUUCCCUGCGAGGUCUGGAGAAACCCGGUGCCCCGCGGGCUGGGCUGGAUUCGUGGCGGGUACCUAGGGUCGAGCUGUCAAGUUCAAUCUCAAGCUUCCAACAUUUAUUUUCCUGAGCGCCCACUAUGUGUCGAUCCGCAAAAAACGAGCAAGAGCAGGAACCAGCCAACAAGUGGUUCAAGUUCAUCGCGCUCUCCCCGGGGUAACUGAACACUGCUUUAGGGUGUCACGCAGACCCUGGCGGUGCGACUUUCGGCGAGUGACUUCACCUCUCCGAAAUCCGGCUUGUCCCUCUGUAAAUGGGGCAUCAGUACCCCCGGGCAGGGGCUGUAGUGAACAUCGAACGAAAAUCCUUUUGUAAAGCGUGAAGGCACACAGUAGGUGCUCAAUCCCUGCUCGUGCCCUCUCCGCCGCCCUAUGCGUGCCAGGGCCGCGCGCUCCCGCUCCUGCUUCCCGCUUCCCGCACCUUCUCCCGUCUCGCGCGUCCCGCGGCGAAGGGACUGGGGCAGAGACGACCAAACAGAAAAUUAUUUCCGCCCGCUCGCCCCGCCCCGCCCGUCCCCGGAGCCAGAAGGGGAUUGUGGGGCCGCCGCGGCCGCCGCCGGAGCCGAGCGGGGCGGAAGCGCGCGUCGCGCUGCUGCUCGGGCCCGACCGCGCCGGCCCGCACCUCCCGGCCCGGAGCUGCG